GUACGGAAGGCAGCAAUUAGGAAUCUUGCGCAAUGGGCGAAAGCCUGACGCAGCGACGCCGCGUGGAGGAGGAAGUCCUUCGGGAUGUAAACUCCUUUUUGGGGAGACGAACACAAUGACGGUAUCCCCGGAAUAAGCCCCGGCUAACUACGUGCCAGCAGCCGCGGUAAUACGUAGGGGGCGAGCGUUGUCCGAAGUCACUGGGCGUAAAGCGCGCGUAGGCGGGCUGUUAAGUCGGAAGUGAAAGGCUGGGGCUCAACCCCAUGCAGGGCUUCUGAUACUGGCGGUCUUGAGGGCGGUAGGGAGAAGUGGAAUGGCUGGUGUAGCGGUGAAAUGCGUAGAUAUCAGUCGGAACACCGGUGGCGAAGGCGGCUUCUUGGGCCGUUCCUGACGCUGAGGCGCGAAAGCCAGGGGAGCGAACGGGAUUAGAUACCCUUGUA
rnacentral:rRNA from 1 species